GAUGAACGCUGGCGGCGUGCCUAAUACAUGCAAGUCGAGCGAACAGAUGAGGAGCUUGCUCCUCUGACGUUAGCGGCGGACGGGUGAGUAACACGUGGAUAACCUACCUAUAGGACUGGGAUAACUUCGGGAAACCGGAGCUAAUACCGGAUAAUAUAUUGAACCGCAUGGUUCAAUAGUGAAAGACGGUUUUGCUGUCACUUAUAGAUGGAUCCGCGCCGCAUUAGCUAGUUGGUAAGGUAACGGCUUACCAAGGCAACGAUGCGUAGCCGACCUGAGAGGGUGAUCGGCCACACUGGAACUGAGACACGGUCCAGACUCCUACGGGAGGCAGCAGUAGGGAAUCUUCCGCAAUGGGCGAAAGCCUGACGGAGCAACGCCGCGUGAGUGAUGAAGGUCUUCGGAUCGUAAAACUCUGUUAUUGGGGAAGAACAAAUGUGUAAGUAACUAUGCACGUCUUGACGGUACCUAAUCAGAAGGCCACGGCUAACUACGU
rnacentral:rRNA from 1 species